AAAUUAUGUGAUCUCUUCAGAUCGCAUAAAUCUUUCGCCUUUUACUAAAGAUUUCCGUGGAGAGGAACAACAACUCUGAGUCUUAACCCAAGUUUUUGAGGCCUUGCUCUCACAGGGCU
rnacentral:snRNA from 1 species